GACGAACGCUGGCGGCGUGCUUAACACAUGCAAGUCGAACGGAAAGGCCCUGCUUUUGUGGGGUGCUCGAGUGGCGAACGGGUGAGUAACACGUGAGUAACCUGCCCUUGACUUUGGGAUAACUUCAGGAAACUGGGGCUAAUACCGGAUAGGAGCUCCUGCUGCAUGGUGGGGGUUGGAAAAUUUCGGCGGUUGGGGAUGGACUCGCGGCUUAUCAGCUUGUUGGUGGGGUAGUGGCUUACCAAGGCUUUGACGGGUAGCCGGCCUAAGAGGGUGACCGGCCACAUUGGGACUGAGAUACGGCCCAGACUCCUACGGGAGGCAGCAGUGGGGAAUAUUGCACAAUGGGCGGAAGCCUGAUGCAGCAACGCCGCGUGCGGGAUGACGGCCUUCGGGUUGUAAACCGCUUUCGCCUGUGACGAAGCGUGAGUGACGGUAAUGGGUAAAGAAGCACCGGCUAACUACGUG
rnacentral:rRNA from 1 species